rnacentral:rRNA from 1 species
UACGUAGGGGGCAAGCGUUGUCCGGAUUUAUUGGGCGUAAAGAGCGUGUAGGCGGCCAAGCAGGUCCGCUGUGAAAACUCGAGGCUCAACCUCGAGACGUCGGUGGAAACCGUUUGGCUAGAGUCCGGAAGAGGAGAGUGGAAUUCCCGGUGUAGCGGUGAAAUACGCAGAUAUCGGGAAGAACACCCGUGGCGAAGGCGGCUCUCUGGGACGGUACUGACGCUGAGACGCGAAAGCGUGGGGAGCGAACAGG